rnacentral:lncRNA from 1 species
CCUGUGGCUGAUAGAACUGGAGAUGCUCCGACCUUGGGGCUUUCAUAUGAGGCUGAUGUUGCAGAAGGUCAUGGCUUCUGUGAGGCACUGAUUGGAGACCAUGAUUCCUUCCAUUCCCCUUGCUGGGGGCUGUGUGGUCGGACAUGUGGCAGCGGUGCCGUCAGCUUGCACCUCCAACAGAUGUCUGUGGACCUGCGAUUUCAUCUGGGGGACAAGCUAUGUAAUAUCGGGCCUGAGUUUUCAUCUGGGGGACUAGCUGUGUCAUAUUGGGCCUAAGUUUUCAUCUGGGGGACUAGCUAUGUAAUAUUGGGCCUGAGUUUUCAUAUGGGGGACUAGCUAAUGUAAUAUUGGGCCUGUGAUUUCAUCUGGGGCACUAGUUGUGUCAUAUUUGGCCUAAGUUUUCAUCUGGGGGACUAGCUAUGUAAUAUUGGGCCUGAGUUUUCAUCUGGG